UUUACAACAACAAAAAUGAAAAAUUAUAAACAUAUAAAUUUAAAUUAAGAAAAACUAACAUUGGAAAAACAAGAAGUUAAUGUAAAAGAAAAAAAUCGACAAAUAAUAUUAUAAAUAAAAUAAAUUUAUAAGACACAAUCCGCGCGAAGCGCGGAAAAAAUCUCUAGUCUAACCUAUACUAAAAGGAGAAUAAGCUCAAAGCUCAGCCUAUCCACGUCACCUAAGAAAAUCAACCAAUCAUAAGACUCUAUUUUGACACAUCACCUUGGCUAAAAUAGAAUGCAGUUUCGUAUGGGCUUUAUUUAUAUUAUCGGUCGGCCCAUUUGAGCACAUGCCCAAAAAUCUGUUUCGUCGUCGUCUUCAAGCGUCAAGAGUCUCUCCCCCGACUCUUCCACUUCAUCUUCUCCAAUGUCUGGGUUUUUUUUUUCCAUUACCUUCUCAAUCAAUGAGGAUGUUAAAGCUAUUCUCCAACGUUUUGUUCCACCUACCCUUGAUACUUCUCCUAUAUAAAGCUCUAUCUCUGACCUAAAUCCAUCCAGAAUCAAAAACCCUACUCUGCAGAAACUAAAUUGCAAUGAAAUCCACAACGAAGUCUCAGCUUACCACCGGCAUAUCUCCCGUCGCCGUCUAUUUCAACGACAUCUCACCAAGACCAGAUGAGUCACAGCUUUGGUUUCAGGUAAUACAUCCUUUUAGCAGGCUUCUUCGUUUAAAUGUGGCUCUUUACUUAUAUCUUCUUUUAAAACUGUUGUUAUUUCGUUUCUCAUGGUUUUGAAUCUAAAAAUGCUUAGAUUCUCUAUUAGUCUCUUACUCUGCUUAUAAAUUGGUUUCAGAAUAAAGUCGGCCAGGUAUGUGAUACUUAGCCACCUUGAGCACGUACACAUAUGUGUCUCACAAUGGAGAGAAAGUUGUUGUAAAAAUACAAAGAUCUGGACUAAACUUUUCGAUAUAGAUCUAUGUAACAACUUUUGUGUUAUAUUAUACAACCUUUGGACAUGGAUGCUUUAUUAAUGCUAAAAAUGACAUAUUUUCUUAUCAGGAAAUUUGAUGUUGCUUGAUGAAUAUUUCUGGAAAAGUGAUUCAAUUGCCCCAAACGCCCCGGAUGGUAUUUACGAAAAAUGUGUCAUGUAAGUCUUUUUAACAUAAAGUAGUUAUAACUCUGGCUCUAAAACAUGUGGCGCUGAUAUAUCAAGAGUAAUGCUAAAGUGUCAAACUUAUAAUGGUUUCAAACUUAUUUUAUGGUUUGGCUGUUUUAGAUACUCCAAACCGCCUACUUUCAUGAUGUUUAAGUCAAUUUCAAUAAUCUUGAUAAUCAAGACAAAGCUUAACCACUGUUUGAAAAAAUAUUUACAAUCCAUUAUUUGUUCAAUUAGAUAUUUAAUCAUAAAUAAGAGACUAAAUCAUGUUAUUAUGUAUACACUAUAUAUUGUUCUCUGUUUGUAGCUUGGAGAUAACCAAAGUUAUGAGUCAUGAAACUUUUUUAAAGGACAGGUGGUGCGCUCUGGGAAUCACAGCAAGGAUCCUCAGUACCACAGUCUGGAUCACUUCUUUGACAGGUUCUAACAUGAUCAUGCCACUUUGGUUACACAUUGGGUCUUUUGAUUUCGAAAGUAUUUGAAUUUAUAUUAGUUCUGUGUUUUGAUAUAAGCAAGCCUCUAAAUGUAGACCCCAAAAACAUUUAUGAUAGUUUACAGCGACUACAUUUAGAUCCGACAUGGGUUAUUGGUUCGAUGAGGCUAAAUAGUUAUAUUUACAUGAAGUUCAUGGUCGGCUUCAGUGCAAAUGCAAAGGUUACAAAAUAAAAUACCUGAUUUAUCUCCAUUUAUAGAGUUAGUUUCAUUACAAAGUUCCCUCUGUUUUCUUUGUUUGAUGAAAAUAUGUAAAUAAAUUGUAGGCAGCGAAUGUAUAUAAGAAGAAAGCUGAAAGUCCUACAAAAACAUGGAUACGACAUGUUAUAGUUACUGGUAUCAGUUUCACAGAUUCUGUCUUCGUCCUCUUCAUUUCUUAUGUAGCCAGUUUGUAUGAUAUUGGCUCAAAUUAUUCUUUUUUGUUUUCUUCUCUAUGUUUCAAACAAUAGCUCUGUUUUGAGAGAGUGGAAGCUGUAAAUCAUCAGUAACUGUGGCAGAGGUUUAACGAUCCCAAUCAGGACAGACACUCUUUGCAGAGUUGAUAUUAAAGCCAUCAGUUGAAAAGGGUAAGGCAGCAAAGCAGGCUGGUAAGCCAAAAAUAAGUUUUGUACAGUGUAAGUAAACAGAGCAAACAUUGCUAACGAAAAAGGAGGAAAAGCCAGUGAAACCAGUAUCAUCUAUGUAACUGAGCUACCUAACGCUCAUGGCUUCAUUAGUGGACUGCAACAGGCCUAUGAUACAAUGGUGGGUGAAAGAGGACUUCAGUUAUCAGGCAGAAAAUAGUAGAGAGUGGUAGCCAUAGCAAUUUUUAAAGAUCCUAUGGUGUGGGCCGUGUGGUUUAGGGAUGAAGCAACAAUUACUGUUGAUAUUUAGUCAGAGUCUGUGGUUCAUGAGUUAAUUGCAUAGGUUAGAAAGAAAAGCAAGCCACUGAUCCCAAUAUAUGAGGGUCUCUAUGUUUCUUUAGUACAACUUCAUUUGACUGCUUCUGCGAAAACAUUUUUUAAGGGAUUACCUACCAUUUGAGCAAAUAUGGAAUUGACAGCAAACCUAUUUUUCAUUAUGAAUGAUUACAGAGCUUCGAGAAUGACAUUGACUUUCACAGAAUGUUAAAAAAAAUUGAUCUAACAAAGCCAGUGCAAUCCUAACGAACCCUGCAAUGGCAGAACGCUGCAUCCAUUACUUCUUACAAGUAUAAAAGGGAUCACGGCAAUUCCUAGGCUACUUUGGUGAAAAGGUUCGCGGGAAUACAAAGAAUGAGGAAGAAAAAGGAUGCAGUACUGAGGACUCCUUUCUCUGAUCACCAUGUCCGUGAGCUGCUGUAUGUCUCCGUAAUUAAUAGACUCUUCAAAAUAAUUCCAUAUCGGAAAAGCCUGUCAAUACUUUCCUAACUUGAAUAGAACUUCGUUACUUGAUUUGUUCAGAAUUAUUUUUUGGAUAUUACAUGGGCGAGGUGCAUAUAGCUUGGUGUCUCUCAAUGCUCAUCAGGUGAUAUCAAAAAUUUAUAACCGAUUAACCUCUAAUCCUAAAAGAAGAAGGUGAUGACGUGCUCUUAAUAUUAUCAUCAUGUCUAACUCAUGUGAAUUAUCAACUUAACAAACUCAUUAGAUUCACUCUUUGGGUUAUACAGUUAUGUUCACCCGAAUUGAUUCAGAAAACACAAGCAAUUCUAAUUAUCUACACCUGUCCCCUUUUCACAUAAUUUAAUCUACAUGUUACAUUGUUACCUAUAUUAAAAUUUAUUAAAUCACAAAUGUUUUCAUUACUUUUUUCUAAACAGCAAAAGAGUGAAGAAAUGUAAUAAUAUAACUAAUACUAAUGCAACAUAAUAUUACAAAUAAAUGUUUAAAAAAUACAUAUUACAAACAAUAUGAAUACUCAAUUUGUUUGUAGAGGUUACGAAAUUUAGAACUACUUUUUCAGCAUUCAUACUUCAGUCACUUAACUAACCAAUUAAAUUGUUUCCGUUCUCCAUUGAAAAAGGCGUCGUUCACAGAGAUGUAAAGCUAGGUAACUUUGCGUUCUCUACAAAGAGUCAGACCCGACUUUGAGAGUGUGCCCAUGGAGUAAAUGCACAGGGCCCAACUUUUACUAAUUUUCUUUAGAAUUUAGGGCCCUAAAUUUUUUAAACCAUUACAAAACAGGACCUAAUAAUUUUAAUGAUUUUACUUUAUUGAAUAACAUUUGUAAAAAAAUUUGGACUAGCACUAGACCCUCAAUCCCCAUGAGACGGGCCUGCAAAGAGCAAACAAGCUAUCUCAUUGCCUUUAUAACCUCGCCACAGUUAGCAAUUCUCUAGCACGUUUCUCUUAUCUAUAGCAACAACUACCGGUUAAUGUUUCAUAUAAAAUAAUCAUAGGUAACAAUCAUAUUUUUUGAAUACUAAGGCCAUUGUCUAAUAGAAGCACUGAACAACUUUGCUAACACAUGCGUUCAUGUUAAGAUAGCUUUAUGAUAUAACCCUAAUCACUGAAUAAUUUUGAUAUAUUUGAACUUUUUUUUUUUACAAAAUUGAGAUAAAUUUUAAAUUUAGUUUCACGUUUUCAGACUAAUUUUAAUUGAUUAUCUAUAAAAACAGUAUUGAAAGACCAUGUUGUCAACUACAUAAUACCAAAUAAGAAUAUAUACAUAAUACACAAAACCAAACUACAUUACUCUUUUUAGUGUAGAAUAUGCGCUAAAAAAGAUAGAAUUUCAUAUUUCAAAUAUACGUCAAAUAAAAAAAUAAAGUUGUUAGAAAUAUACAAAUUAAGUUAGUACAAAAAUAUUUACAGAUUAUGUUAAGAAAACUAAAUACAAAAUUAAAGUAAACAUUUAACAUA